UGGCCAGAAAGGAUCAAUAAAGAAUCAUGGAUGGGCUCACGGCUAAGAAGAAAGAAGCAACUCGAGGAUGCAUAGUAGGCAAAGGCUUUGCUGGAGUCCGGAGGAAAAUGAAGAUGCUUUGAGAAAGCGGAAGUAGCCUCCGUGCAUUUAGUUGGGGCUUUUAUGACAUAGUUUGAACAAUUUCUAUGUGGUGGUAAACACUUGUCAUGUUGUGUUGGUGAACCAUUUAUAAUAUUUAAGGUAAGGAUGA
rnacentral:lncRNA from 1 species